rnacentral:rRNA from 1 species
UACGGAGGGAGCUAGCGUUGUUCGGAAUUACUGGGCGUAAAGCGCACGUAGGCGGCUUUGUAAGUUAGAGGUGAAAGCCUGGGGCUCAACUCCAGAAUUGCCUUUAAGACUGCAUCGCUUGAAUCAUGGAGAGGCGGGUGGAAUUCCGAGUGUAGAGGUGAAAUUCGUAGAUAUUCGGAAGAACACCAGUGGCGAAGGCGGCCCCGCUGGACAUGUAUUUGACGCUGAGGUGCGAAAGCGUGGGGGAGCAAAACAGG